UAUAAAGUUGUUGUUUGGCUUGGUUUCUUCCGGUAAAUGCUCAUCAUUUUCAAUUGAUAAGGACAACCAUAUUCUCCUUUAAGUUAAUUGCAUUAGAAGCAAUGUAA
rnacentral:sRNA from 1 species